rnacentral:rRNA from 1 species
UACAGAGGUCUCAAGCGUUGUUCGGAUUCAUUGGGCGUAAAGGGUGUGUAGGUGGCGCGCUAAGUCGGGUGUGAAAUUUCGGAGCUUAACUCCGAAACUGCAUUCGAUACUGGCGUGCUUGAGGACUGGAGAGGAGACUGGAAUUCAUGGUGUAGCAGUGAAAUGCGUAGAGAUCAUGAGGAAGACCAGUGGCGAAGGCGGGUCUCUGGACAGUGCCUGACACUGAGACACGAAGGCUAGGGGAGCAAACGGG